rnacentral:rRNA from 1 species
UACGUAGGGGGCUAGCGUUAAUCGGAAUUACUGGGCGUAAAGCGUGCGCAGGCGGUUUUGUAAGUCUGACGUGAAAUCCCCGGGCUCAACCUGGGAAUUGCGUUGGAGACUGCAAGGCUAGAAUCUGGCAGAGGGGGGUAGAAUUCCACGUGUAGCAGUGAAAUGCGUAGAGAUGUGGAGGAACACCGAUGGCGAAGGCAGCCCCCUGGGUCAAGAUUGACGCUCAUGCACGAAAGCGUGGGGAGCAAACAGG